GAGGCGCAACAGUGGGUAAGGGAAUUCGGCAAAACAGAUCCAUAACUUCGGGAAAAGGAUUGGCCCUAAGGGCUGGGCCUAGGGGUUUGUGUCCUCAACUUGUGGGUUGUUGGCAGUCUUCCUGAGCUACUAUCACAACGAGGAUGGGUAGUCAUGUCCCUAGAAUGUCCCCUCGCGAAGGAUUUUCCCUAGGCAGGGAACAAUCGACUCAUAACUGGUACGGACAAGGGGAAUCUGACUGUUUAAUUAAAACAAAGCAUUGCGAUGGUCCCUACGGAUGGUGACGCAAUGUUAUUUCUGCCCAGUGCUCUGAAUGUCAAAGUGAAGAAAUUCAACCAAGCGCAGGUAAAUGGCAGGAGUAACUAUGACUCUCUUAAGGUAGCCAAAUUCCUCGUCAUUUAAUUAGUGAUGCGCAUGAAUGGAUUAACGAGAUUCCCACUAUCUCUAUCUACUAUAUAGAGAAACCAUAGCCAAGGUAACGGGCUUGGCAGAAUUAGCAGGGAAAGAAGACCCUUUUGAGCUUGACUCUAGUCUGACUUUUUGAAAUGACUUGAGAGGUGUAGAAUAAGUGGGAGCCAUUUUCGGUGCAAGUGAAAUACCACUACUUUUAACGUUAUUUUACUUAUUCUGUGGGGUGGAGACGAGGCAUGCCCUAUUUUUGGCCUUAAGACAUGUUUCUAUGGUUCGAUCUAGGUGGAAGACAUUGUCAGGUGGGGAUUUUGGUUGGGGUGUCACAUCUGUUAAAAGAUAAUGCAGGUGUCCUAAGAUAAGCUCAAUGAGAACAAAAAUAUUGUGUGGAACAAAAGGGUAAAAUAUCAUUUGAUUUUGAUUUUCAUUAUGAAUACAAAUCAUGAAAGCGUGGCCUAUCGAUCCUUUAGACUUUCAGAAUUUGAAGCUAGAGGUGUCAAAAAAUUUACCAUAGAGAUAAAUGGCUUCUAGAAGCCAAGCAUUCAUAGAGACGUUUAAUUUUUAUCCUUCGAUGUCGGCUCUUCCAUUCAUUCUGAAGCAGAAUUCACCAAGUGUUGGAUUGUUCACCCACCAAUAGGGAACGUGAGUUAGGUUUAGACCAUUGUGAGACAUGUUAGUUUUACCCUAGUAAUGAACCACACUGCAAUAUUAAUUCAACUUAGUAUGAGAGGAACCAUUGAUUCACACAAUUGGUCAUCGCCCUUGGUUGAAAAUCCAGUGGCGCAAAGCUACCGUGUGUCAGAUUAUGACUAAACAUCGCUAAGUCAGAAUCCACACUAGAAGAAGCGCUUGUCACUCCUCGAUUGUAUCUUGACCUUCAGUAUGGGUGUCUCUUCGACACCCCUAGGGGCCUGUGUCACUUGCGAACCUCGACUGGGAAGCGUCUCGGUCGAGGCAACUUUGAAGUUCAAUUUCAAAUGAUCAUUGAGAAGAAUCCUUUCCAGACAACUUAAAUAUGCAACGGGGUAUUGUAAGUGAUAGAGUGACCUUCCUGCCAUGAUCCACUAAUAUUCAUCCCUUCGUUGCCUUGAUUC
rnacentral:ncRNA from 1 species